CCUACGGGGGGCUGCAGUGGGGGAUAUUGCACAAUGGGGGGAACCCUGAUGCAGCGACGCCGCGUGGGUGAAGAAGCGCCUCGGCGCGUAAAGCCCUGUCAGCAGGGAAGAAAAUGACGGUACCUGACGAAGAAGCCCCGGCUAACUACGUGCCAGCAGCCGCGGUAAUACGUAGGGGGCAAGCGUUAUCCGGAUUUACUGGGUGUAAAGGGGGCGCAGACGGCGAUGCAAGCCAGGAGUGAAAGCCCGGGGCCCAACCCCGGGACUGCUCUUGGAACUGCGUGGCUGGAGUGCAGGAGGGGCAGGCGGAAUUCCUGGUGUAGCGGUGAAAUGCGUAGAUAUCAGGAGGAACACCGGUGGCGAAGGCGGCCUGCUGGACUGCAACUGACGUUGAGGCCCGAAAGCGUGGGGAGCAAACAGGAUUAGAUACCCCAGUAGUC
rnacentral:rRNA from 1 species